AUACGGAGGGGGUUAGCGUUGUUCGGAAUUACUGGGCGUAAAGCGCACGUAGGCGGACUGGAAAGUUGGGGGUGAAAUCUCGGGGCUCAACCCCGGAACUGCCUCCAAAACUUCCAAUCUAGAGAUCGAGAGAGGUGAGUGGAAUUCCAAGUGUAGAGGUGAAAUUCGUAGAUAUUUGGAGGAGCACCAGUGGCGAAGGCGGCUCACUGGCUCGAUACUGACGCUGAGGUGCGAAAGCGUGGGGAGCAAACAGGAUUAGAAACCCUAGUAGUCC
rnacentral:rRNA from 1 species